ACGAGCUUGCUUUGAGCCAAAGCACGCUGGAUUACUCUUGAAGUUUCGCCGAAUGAUGCUAUUGGUAAAGUUCUAAGAAAAGAGCUCUCGGGAAGGGUAAGGUGCUUAGGAUUAGGAGCUGUCCCCAACAAAAUUUUUAAACAUGCAAGACCCUAUUUUGGUGGUAUGAAUACUUCAAGAAGUGAUGCUUCAUGUUUGAACCAUUUCCAAGAGAACUACAAUAAAUUGUCGAAUGCUCACAAACAAAUGAUGAAUGCUUUCCAAGACAUAUAUGAUAAUGAAAGAAGGGACAAUACCAGAACAAUUUGCGGGGGUUCUUUGCUUCUCCACCUACAACGCCAAGAGAUGCAGCUACUGGAUCUCUAUCACCCAAGGACGCAAGAAGAUCAUCCGAUGGCAGUAAUUCAAGUGACAACAAUUGAAGUUCUUUGUAAUUGAAUCUCUAUAUAUAUAUAUAAAACAGGGAUGUUAACUCGCUGAUGUGGCAUGCCUAAUUGAUCAGCAAUUGCCUUUAUCUUUUUUCUCUGUUUUUUGAGUUUUCUCUUCUUUUUUCCUAUUUACCUUAUUCAAUUCAAUGGAGUAAUAAAUUUCUUCUUCUUUCGUUUACCUAUUAAUUUAAUUGAGAAACCCAACCGUUUCAUUCAUUGGUAGUAAUAGCCCAUUAAUUUCUACCAAAACCCUUUCUUCUUCCUCUUUGAUGACAACAAUUUCAAACGCUAAUAUUUCUUUUUUCUCUCCAUGGAUAAAAAGAGGGUUCCACUUUUCCUCCAUGGAUUAAAAGAGAGUUCCACUUUUCUUCUGGAAAUCCAUCAAGGUCCCUGUCAAAAUUGCACUGUAUGUGAUAUGACUUGGAAUUCAACUCAAGUUAGUAAUCUAAGGGGGGAAAGACGGGUAUCUUUUUUUUUUCCCUUUUUCUUUUUAAUUCGAUAAAAAAUUCUUGCUUCAAAUGUGAUAUUCUUCAUGUUUUGCCCUUUUGAUUUAUUUAUUUUAACAGGAAAAACGAUCUUGGCCUGUGUUAUCAAUACAUGCCGUCACCAAAAUUUUAAGCUUUUGAUCAUCUGUCUUCACUUUCUCUUGCAGGUUCAAUAACAGAGAAGCUUUUUUUUUCCAGUUUUUGUAGCAAAAGAUCAACCAUUGUUAUGUUUCAUUGGUCUUAUAUUUAAUUCCUUUUUUUCUAAACUGUUGUUUAAAUGCUUUUUUGGAGACGGACAUAUGAAUUGUCCUUUCAGCGGACUUCACAAAUCGUGAUUAUGGCGCCGGAAAAAGAGAAGACGACUCGCCGUUCUCCUCUCGAUUUCCCAUUGUGAGCUUUCACCGACUAUGCCAAAGAUGCAAUUAUCUGCCUGAAAGUUACAGUAGUGGACCUGCAUCAGAUCCCCUCACCUGCUAGCCAUGUUGGUUAUGGUAAAAAAUUUUGGUCUGAUGUCCGUGGUGGUGGUCCGGGUAGCCCAGCAACUCAAAUAUGUCUGAUGUUACCGUUGAAGAACUCCAAGAACUUUUUGGAAGCAUUGGACAAGUAACAUGAAAUUUCUUUUGGCUAUGAUUAUUGUUUUAGAGUUAUUUUUCUAAUCAUUGUUUUUCUUUAAUUCACAACUCCAUGAUGUUCAAUGUGGUAUUGCUACUUGGAGGAUGAAGAUAACAUGUCCGGAUACUGAAUAUUUUAGAUAUGUCUUUUAAUGAUAAUUUAAAUAUUGCAUGAUUUCAA